UUGACCUCGGAUCAGGUAGGAAUACCCGCUGAACUUAAGCAUAUCAAUAAGCGGAGGAAAAGAAACCAACAGGGAUUGCCUCAGUAACGGCGAGUGAAGCGGCAACAGCUCAAAUUUGAAAUCUGGCCUCUUUGGGGUCCGAGUUGUAAUUUGUAGAGGAUGUUUCGGGUACCGCCUCGGUCUAAAUUUCUUGGAACAGAAUGUCAAAGAGGGUGAGAAUCCCGUCUUGGAUCGGCGGUAGGGCCCAUGUGAAACUCCUUCGACGAGUCGAGUUGUUUGGGAAUGCAGCUCAAAAUGGGUGGUAUAUUUCAUCUAAAGCUAAAUAUUGGCCAGAGACCGAUAGCGCACAAGUAGAGUGAUCGAAAGAUGAAAAGCACUUUGAAAAGAGAGUUAAACAGUAUGUGAAAUUGUUGAAAGGGAAGCGCUUGCAACCAGACUUGAGCGCGGCGGUUCCCCCAUCCUUUUGGCUGGGUUACUCCGCCGCGUCCAGGCCAACAUCGGUUCUGGGGGUCGGUCAAAGACUCUGGGAAUGUAUCUACCCUCCGGGCGUAGACUUAUAGCCCAGGGUGUCAUGCGGCCUCCCGGGACCGAGGAACGCGCUUCGGCUCGGAUGUUGGCGUAAUGGUUGUCAGCGACCCGUCUUGAAACACGGACCAAGGAGUCUAACAUCUAUGCGAGUGUUUGGGUGUCAAACCCGGAACGCGAAAUGAAAGUGAACGGAGGUAGGAAGCUUCGGCUGCACUAUCGACCGAUCCUGAUGUCUUCGGAUGGAUUUGAGUAAGAGCAUAGCUGUUGGGACCCGAAAGAUGGUGAACUAUGCCUGAAUAGGGUGAAGCCAGAGGAAACUCUGGUGGAGGCUCGCAGCGGUUCUGACGUGCAAAUCGAUCGUCAAAUUUGGGUAUAGGGGCGAAAGACUAAUCGGAACC
rnacentral:rRNA from 1 species